rnacentral:rRNA from 1 species
AGAGAGAGACAUGCGCGCAUAUCAAUAAGCGGAGGAAAAGAAACUAACAAGGAUUCCCCUAGUAACGGCGAGUGAGGCGGGAAGAGCUCAAAUUUGAAAUCUUAAAGGGUUUCCCUUUACGAAUUGUAGUUUAAAGAAGUGUUUUCUGUUGAGGUUUUGGUAAAAGUUCUUUGGAAUAGGACAUCAUAGAGGGUGAGAAUCCCGUAUUUGACCUUUACUUUCAACUUUGUGGUACACUUUCAAAGAGUCGGAUUGUUUGGGAAUGCAGUCCAAAAUGGGUGGUAAAUUUCAUCUAAAGCUAAAUAUUGGCGAGAGACCGAUAGCGAACAAGUACCGUGAGGGAAAGAUGAAAAGAACUUUGAAAAGAGAGUUAAACAGUACGUGAAAUUGUCAAAAGGGAAGCGUUUGACACCAGUGUUGUUUUUCUGAAAAUCAAUUAAAGAACUGUUUAUGCUAAGUUGUUUAGACUUUAUCAGCUAACUGUUUAGUUUUGAGCUUUUCUUUAAUGCACUUUUCAGUUAACAAGUCAACAUCAAUUUCUUUUGCUGUAAAAAAGCUUGAGGAAGGUGGCUUGAGAUUCGUCUUAAGUGUUUAUAGCCUCUUGCCUAUGCAGUCGGAGAGAUUGAGGUCUGCAGCGUAGAUCCUUCGGGGCUAAAUGCAUUUGUGCUAAGUUAUAGCAUUUUAUAGACAACUUGUUGACUAUGAUUUGUCUUGUAGCUUACUCGCUUAUGUAUUUUACCUACGCUUAGGAUGUUGAGCGCAUGUCUCUCUCU